rnacentral:sRNA from 1 species
CAAGCACACAAAACAACCUUACACAAUAAAGUUAUGCCUCUACUGACAGCAAUGCUUCCUCCUAAAGCCAUAGACAAAAACUACAGUGCCAGGCAUGGGAAAUCUUUUAAGCUGUUGGUCACAGAAUUCUAAGAGUCUCUUAAAACAAUAUAAGCUAUUGCUGCCAUGGCCUUUGGUUGCCUACAGAAGCUGAAAGUAAGACUCUACACAUUUCAGAUAGAGAAUGUGGAGAAAUGAGCUAGAACUGACACUGUAGUGCCCUCCACCUGAGGACUAGCCUUCUUUAGUACCCUAAAGAGCUAUGCAAGCUGCCAAAGGAGAAAGGCAAUCAGGAGUCCUACUCUGCCUGAUGCCUAUGAACCAAAACAACAACCAUCGAUUUAUUUUAAACAGCCAUAUUCUUCCCUUUGGAUAGAGAAUACAACAGCCAGCUGUUUUGUUUCAAAUAUAAAAUUUCUGAUUAAUGAGACAGAUUUUCAGUUUUCUUGUAAAUGAGAAAGUGAGCAUGUAUGCUUUUCCUGAGCCAGUAAAUAUUAUUAUUUCAUGCUAAGGUUCUCUGAAGUUACAUGAAACUUGUAUUCACCACUGGUCAGUAUUGUAACGAAGAAACCAGAGAGGACUGGAACAUUUGGAUAUUCUUGAUUGAAACGAUCCAUGCCUGUGGCAUCCCACCCAAGGGUUCAGUGACAGUCUUUCUUUUACGUAUUUUUAAAAUUGGAGAUAAUAUAAUUACAACACUUCUCCCUUUACUUUCUUCCCUCUAAGCCCUCUCAUGUGCCUGUCUUUUUAGCACUAUUUCCAUCAGUGGAAAGGAAGGAAAAGGAAGUAUGGGCAGGAAGAUUCAAGCAGAAGAUGCAGAAUGGUGUUGGUCCUUUCCAUGCAGUCUACUGAGUCACCCGAGCUAUAGCUCUUCAGUCACUGCAAAGAAGACUGGAAAAUGCAACAUGUAGACAUCUGGCCAAGGCCCAGUUCAAAUUUUAUGAGAUCUAUCAUUCUAAGAUAAAAAGGGUAGCAGAAAGUUUCCCCAUGAUCUACCUCUGUGUCCAGUUGAGAUAACUCUGUCUUGGAUAAAAAUGUAGCCAUCAUCCACGAGAACCAGUCACAAAUAUAACCCAAUUACUUUACCCCAUGCAUGGUAGAAGGUCUUGCCCUUUCUAGCAGGCACAAUUGUAGCUCUUUGGAGUUCAUCAAAGUGUGAGCUGAAAGAAAGGGUGUCUUCUCCACCUUCAACGAGAGGAACAUGAAACUUCCACACCCAAGCAGAAUAUGAGAAUAUCCAGCAGAUAGUGUUGAAGUAGCUAUUGGGUCCUUUUCAGUAGAUCUUGCCAGGCUUCUCCGAGUAUGUAAGAAGACGGUUCCUUUUGUGCACUGGUCCUGCUGCCUCUGAACCUGGAGCUGCUCUCUUGAUCAUUGGCUUUGUGCUCUGGGAUGUUCUGUUAUCUUCUUUGGCAGUACAGGAAAAAAGUGUUGGAUAAUGUGCUCUUGUGGACAGUGCCCAGCUUCUGCAUCAGCUUCUUAAAGCAGUACAGGGUUAUAUGAUGGUGACUCUAGUGAUAAAGCAAGAAGCCCAAUAAAAAGGCAGAUAGGAGGCUAAGCAAGACUCUUAGUCCUUAGAACACAAUGAAUGCUUGCAAGGAAAAAAGUCUUUGCAAAUAUUAUUGAAGACCUUCGGCAUUUUGCUAUUAUCCUGGGUUAUUUAAGUGGGCUCAAAAUCUAGUCUCAAAUAUCCUCUUGAGAGAAAUGGAGAAGGAAAUUGUCCCACAGAAUAUGAGAAGGUGAUGUGAAGAUGAAGACUGUAGUAACACGAAGCCAAGGAGUACAAGGAUUUCUGAAAACCAGCAGAAGGUGGCAGUUGGACAUGAAAUGGCUGUUCUCUAAGGAUCCAGAGGACACCAACUCCAUUUGACUGGGCAUUUUGACUGCAGGUUUCUUUAUUUGUGAGCUGUAUAUCCAGCUCACAAAUAACCAAUCAACCAAUCAAAGCUGGCAGUGAGAACUUCUAGCAAAUUCCCCUGUCCAGCUGAUAUGCUUGCCUACUAGAAAAUCCUUGCUUGAGCUCAGAUUUCUUAUGUAGUAUAAAAGCAAAAAAGGCAAGUAUAACAUGAUAAUAUUUGGACAUUCUUCAGCCAGAUCUUCAGAAAUGUAGACUUGGAGGUAUGAAAUCUGCUUUCGAUGGUAUGAAAGACUGAGCAGCCUCUCAGGAGAGGACGCGGCUGAAAUCGAAAGCCCUCUGGACUGGAAGGCACGCACAGGGUUCAUGGAGACAGGCUGAUCAUGAAUGGCGUGUGAAGGAGUGUGAAUGGAGGCAUAAUUCUUGAGAAGACAAUGAGGAGAGAGAUUUAAGUAUUUCACAUUACUGGAAUGUCAACUCCUUUUGAAGAGUCACAUGACCUGUCUGUAUGUCCUGCAUGAGGAUGAAGCUGAGCAGAAUUUAGAUGAAGAGUUCGUAGGGACAGGAAACUUCCCACACGUGAGACCACAGAGGUGUCAAAGACAACGCUCAUUGGUACAGCUGAAUAUUCGUCGUGACCUUUGCAGUUAUAAAUGCUAUCACAGGACCAAUGAGAUGCCUUAGCAGGCCCUCUGAAGGAUCCUCCAUUUAGCACCACCACGCUGGGACCAAGCUUCCACACAGGAAAAUAGCAGAGCCUUUCAGCCACGAGACCCGAGCUGUUCGAUUUCAUAUGGUGUGGAAAGGAAAUAGAGACACUGCCUGUGUGAAGGUCAUAUAAUGUUAUUUUCUUAAGAGCUACUUUUUAUUAUGCGCA